rnacentral:tRNA from 1 species
CUUUAGCUCAGUUGGUAGAGCGACGCAUUCGUAAUGCGUAGGUCGUGGGUUCAAGUCCCUUAAG